GGGGAUGUAGCUCGGUUGGCAGAGCUCUUGCCUAGCAUUCGUGAAGUCUGUAGUUCAAGUCUACGGCUCCUCU
rnacentral:tRNA from 1 species